AGGGUCCUCUGCCUAGGAAAACCAGAGACCCUUGUUCACAUGUUUAUCUGCUGACCUUCCCUCCACUAUUGUCCUAUGACCCUGCCAAAUCCCCCUCUGCGAGCAACACCCAAGAAUGAUCAAUAAAUACUAAAAAAAAAAAAAAAAAAAAAAGAAGCUCAACAUCAUUGGUCUUUAGGGAAAUGUAAAUUAACGACAAUGAGAUACCAGUACAUAGAACUGCGGAAAUUAAAAGAAAAAAAAAAAAGCCUGACAAUACCAAAUGCUGGAAAUAAUAUAGAGAUACAGAAGAACACGAAUUCUCAUUCACUACUGGGAGAAAUACAAAAUGGUACAGUCAUUUUAGAAAACAGUUUGGUAGUCUCCUGUAAAGUUAAACCAUAAAGUUACCAAACAGCCUAGCAAUCCCACUCUUAGGUAUUUACUCAAAUGAAAUUUCACACUAAAACCUGUACAUGAAUGUUUACAAUAGCUUUCUUUAUAAUCACCAAAAACCAGAAACCCAGAUGUCCUUUAAUAGGUGAAUAGACACCAGGCGCGGUAGCUCACGCCUGUAAUCCCAGCACUUUAGGAGGCUGAGGAGGGCGGAUCACCUGAGAUCAGGAGUUCAAGACCAGCCUGACCAAUAUGGAGAAACUAUGUCUCUACUAAAAAUACAAAAUUAGCUGGGCGUGGUCGCACAUGCCUGUAAUCUCAGCUAUUCGGGAGGCUGAGGCAGGAGAAUCAUUUGAACCCGGGAGGCGGAGGUUGCAGUAAGCCAAGAUUGCACCACUGCACCCCAGCCUGGGCAACAAGGGAGAAACUCCGUCUCAUAAAAAAAAAAGGUGACUAGACAAACUAUGGUACAUCCAAACAGUGGAAUACUACUCAGCAAUAAAGAGCAUUGGACGCAUGCAACAACAUGGAAGAAUUUUAAACGUAUUUUGCUGGCCAGGUGCAGUGGCUCACGCCUAUAAUCGGAGCCUGAGGCAGGUGGAUUGCUUGAGCUCAGGAGUUCCAGACCAGCCUGGGCAACGUGGUGAAACCGUCUCUACAAAAAAUACAAAAAUGAGCCAGGUGUGGUGGCACAGGCCUAUAGUCCCAGCUACUUGGGGUGCUGAGGUAGGAGGAUUGCUUGAGCCCAGGAAGUUGAGGCUGCAGUGAGCCGAGAUGGCGCCACUGCACCCCACCCUGGGCAACAGAAUGAGACCCUGUCUCCAAUCAAUCAAUCAAUCUACCUUUUAAAAAAAUGUAUUUUGCUAAGUGAAAAAAGCCAAACCUCAAAGGCUACAUAUUGUAUGAUUACAUUUUAAGACAUUCUGGAAAAGGCAAAACAAUAGGGAUGGAAAACAGGUAAGUUGUUGCCAGAGAUUGAAGGAGAUAGAGGGGUUGACUACAAAGGGGCCACUAUAAGGGAUUUUUUAGGGUGAUAGAACUGUUCAGUAUGGUACUGUGGGGUAUAUAUCUGACUCUAUGCAUCUGUCAAAACCCAUAGAACUAAACAUCAUAAAGAGUACACUUUACUAUAUGUAUGCAAAAAAUUUUUAAAAAUGUUUUUUUGGGACAGAGUCUUGCUUUGUUGUCCAGGCUAGAGUGCAGUGGCACCAUCAUGACUCACUGCAGCCUUGACCUCCCUGGCUCAAGCCAUCCUCCUGCUUGAGCCAGGAGAAAUUGGGACUACAGGUAUGUGCUACCAGGCCUGACUAAUUUUUUUUUUUUUUUUUUUUUUUGUAGAGAUGGGCUCUCACUAUGUUACCCAAGCUGAUCUCAAACUUCUAGGCUCAAGCAAUCUUCCCUCCUUGGCAUCCCAAAGUGCUUGGAUUAGAGGUGUGAACCACUGCAGCUGGCCACUGUAUGCAAAUUUUUUAAAAUAACCAGAAUAUCUGGGAACCCAGGAUAGACUACAGACUGUAACAAAUGAAAUCUAACUGCAUUACAAACGUCUGAUAUAACCUCAGAGAGGAAAACAAAAGGAGCUGAUCUAAGUAACUUCAUAAAACAAUGUUACUACUCGAUACUGUAAGGAUAAAAACAAACAAACAAACUGUAGGCAAACAUUGUACUCUAGUUGGUAAAUCUGUUUCUCACAGGAGUAAUCACUGAAACUACAGGUUACACAAAUAAGUAAAUAUACUAUAGGGAAUGAGAGCUAAAUUUCUUACUCUGAGAAAGAAGUCACAAAUAAGCAAGGGGGGAAGACUAGAAUGAAUCUUGUGGUGCUGGAUUAGUCAGAGAUACCAGUAUAAACCCAUGCUUAUUUUAAUAUACAUACAGAUAGAGAAAUAAAUAUAAAUGUGUGUAUAUAUAGAUUAAUAUACAUACAUACAUUUCCUAGCUCUUUCCACUGAAAGGGACUAGAAGCAUCUUGUAAUACCAGACAGGAAGUACUAAACACACACACACACACACACACACACACAGAGAGAGAGAGAAAGAGAGAGAAAGGAAGGAAGGGAGGGAGGGAGGGAGGGAAGAAGGGAAGAAGUGAGGGAGGGGAAGGAAAAGGAAGGAAAAGGAAGAAAGGAAGAAAACAAAAAGAAAGAAAGAAAAGAAAGACUCUGAUGAAUGCUAAAAUCAGAGGGUGAAACUUUAAGGAGAAAUAGGACAUCUGCAUAGCCUGAGGGUAUCUCCCCUAAAAUAUUUAUUAAUUACUGUGGUGCUUUUAACAUAUGUCCGCAAAUUAUUUGAUAAGCUUUCAUCCUGGAAAUGAAGCUUAAUUCUCCUUCUAUUCAGUGUGGGCCAGACUUGGCAAAUGAUUUCCAACAAAUAAGACUAGGUACUGUCAUUUUAUGGAAAUGGAAAAGAAAAAUAACACAAAAAGAGAAAAAUCGUGACUUUUUCAGUGGAGAAACGUGUAUACAAUCUCAACCAAAUGAUCAAAGUUACCAUCACCAGUAAUAAGCCAUGCUAAUACUAUGUUGAUAUCAUACUUUGAUAUGAUCCAAUGAGAAGGGUACUUCACUUCUGUGGUAUACUUUCCCAAAAUCCAUAAUGCCAAGUCUAAUCAUGAGAAACCAAAACCCAAAUGGAGAGACAUCUACAAAAGAGCUGACCAGUACCCUUCAAAAGUAUCAAGGUCGUAAAAGACAAGGAAAGACUGAAAACUGUCAAAGAUUGGAGGACACUAAAGAUACAUGAUGACUAACUGCAGUAUAGUAUCCUAAAUUGAAUCCUGAAAUGGAAAAGGGACAUAAGUGAAAAAACUGGUGAAAUCCAAGACUAUAAUUUAGUUAAUAGUAUUGUACCUAUAUCAAUUUCUUAGUUUUAAUAAAUGUACCAUGAUGAUGUAAGAUAUUAAUAUUAGGACAAGGUAGAUGAAGGGUAUACAGGAACUCUUGGUACUAUCUUUGAAACUCUUGUGUAAAUCUACAACUAUUUCGGGCCAGGCACAGUGUCUCACACCUGUAAUCCCAGCACUUUGGGAGGCAGAGACGGAUGGAUCACCUGAGGUCGGGAGUUCGAGACCAGCCUGACCCACAUGGAGAAACCCCAUCUCUACUAAAAAUACAAAAUUAGCUGGUUAUGGUGGCGUAUGCCUGUAGUCCCAGGAGGCUGGGGCAGGAGAAUUGCUUGAACCCGGGGGAUGGAGGCUGCAGUGAGCCGAGAUCACACCAUUGCACUCCAGCCUGGGCAACAAGAGCGAAACUCUGUCUCAAAAAAAUAAAAAUAAAAAUAAAAAUCUACAACUAUUUCAAAAUCAAAAUUAAACCUGUAAUCUCAGCUACUUGGAAGGUGAAGUGGGACGACUGCUUGAGCCCAGGAGUUUGAAACCAGCCUGGGUAACACAGUAAGACCGUGUCUCAAUCAAUCAAUCAAUAAAAAAUUAUAAAAACAAUAAUAUAGGACAGUUUCUUAACUUUAGUACAAUUAAUAUUUGGGGCCAAAUAAUUCUGUUAUGGGAAGUUGUCCUGUGCCUACUAGAAUGUUAGCAAUGUCUCUGGCCUCUACCCAUUAGAUGCCAGGAACCCACCUCCCCAGUUAUUAGAACCAAAAAUGUCUCCAGGGAUUGCCAAACGUCCCCUAGGAGGCCAAAUCACCCCAAGUUGAGACUACUGAUAUAGCUAUAUACAUUAACAUAUAAAGAUAUCCAUAACAUAGUGUUAAAAGAAAAUAGAAUAGUAUCUAACCUCUGAGUCAAUUUAUGUAAUAACAUAUACACACAUGACACAUGUGCUUAAAUAUAUAUACAAAUGUCUGGAAGGAUGUGAACCAAAAUCAUUACUCCAGGAUGCUAAGACUAUGGUUAAAUUGUCUCUGUACUUUUCAGUAUUAUUGGAUUUUUUUAAUAAGCAUGUCUCAUUUUUCUUUUCUUUUUUUUUUUGAGAUGGAGUUUCGCUCUUGUUGCCCAGGCUGGAGUGCAAUGGCGUGAUCUCGGCUCACUGCAACCUCCGCCUCCUGGGUUCAAGUGAUUCUCCUGCCUUAGUCUCCUGAGUAGCUGAGAUUACAGGCAUGCACCACCAUGCUUGACUAAUUUUUUUGUAUUUUUAGUGGAGAUAGGGUUUCUCCAUGUUGGUCAGGCUGGUCUCGAGCUCCUGACCUCAGGUGAUCUGCCCGCCUCAGCCUCCCAAAGUGCUGGAAUUAUAGGCGUGAGCCACUGUGCCCGGCCCCCGCAUGUCUCAUUUUUCUGAACACAAAAAUGCUUUGUUCUCAUUUUUUUCAUAGUGCUUCCAAUUCAAUAACCAAAAUCCUGUUGGUUCUGUUUACAAAAUAUCAAAAUGGUUACCUAUUCUCUCCAGCCAAAGCCCAACUCCAGCCUCUCUCACCCAGACUAAUGUAACAGAAUCCUAAACUGUUUUUCCUUCUCUAACCCACUCUCCACCCAGUUACUUCAUAAAAUAGAUUUACAGGCCAGGUGCAGUGGCUCACGCCUGUAAUUCCAACCCUUUGGGAGCCCGAGGUGGGCAGAUCACGAGGUCAGGAGUUCGAGACCAGCCUGACCAACAUGGUGAAACCCUGUCUCUACCAAAAAUACAAAAAUUAGCCAGGCGUGGUGGCAUGCGUCUGUAAUCCCAGCUACUCAGGAGGCUAAGGCAGGAGACUUGCUUGAACCCGGGAGGUGGAGGUUGCAGUGAGCUGAGAUUGCGCCACUGCACUCCAGCCUGGGUGACAGAGCGAGACUCUGUCUUGAAAAAAAAAAAUAGACUUACUACCACUUCCCUCUUUAAAACCUCAAACCUCAUGGCAUGACUUUUGAGGGCCUCAAAAAUUUGUUCCCAGGGUCUAUAUUUUUAGUUUUACCUCCUACCACUGUCCCUCAAGUACCCUCUAUGCCAGAUAGUUGCUGGUCAUUCCUUGAAAACAUACCAUGCAUUUUCUUAACUUUGCCCAUACUGUUCUUUUGUCAGUAAUAUUAUUCUUCCCACUUUUCUGCUUGAUAAAAUGUACACAGUGGUACAGAGGAAAAGAAUGGGAUGGAGGAUGAAUGAAUAAAUAAAUAAGAGUUAGAGGAAAAAGUAUAAAACAGCAUGGAGAUGAGGAUUUAAUAAAGUAAUUUUUGGUAGGGAGGAGACAAUAACAGCACCCACGGCAAAAGGCUACGGUAAGGAUAUUAGAUAAUAUUUGUCAAACUUUUAGAACUGCCUGACAUAUAUAUUAUUCUUGCUAUUAUCUUCAGUAGUAUAAUUAUUAUGAUCAUUCCUGUAAUGAGGGCUUGAACUCUGACUGCCACAAUGAGGGAGGUACAGGGAGGCUGCUACUCACAAGCAGAGCCCCAAAGGGAUCAAGAGGCCAACAGGGUCCUGGUCUGAUUCAAGUUUCUGAGGAAUCCAAAACUACACAGAAAAACAAAACCAAUUCCAUUAAAUCAUAAUGGAGCACAUAUGUGAAUUCCUAUAUACCCCAAGUAACUUUUACUCCUCAAAUAUAUCUUUUUGAAGUGGAGCUGCUUCAACACCCUGCCUCAGGCACUGAAACAUCAGGGUAGCACUCAUCCUCAUGAAUCUGAAUCUGCAAGCCUCAUCUGUGCUCUCCUAUGGUUUCCUGUUUGGCCAGUAGUCACUUCUCCUUCCUUAUAUAACACAGAUUUGACUCCAAAGUUCUCCCUGUAGGUGCAAAAACAUGACCACAUAUGUACAACAUACACAGCUUAAUACUGCAGCCAAAAGAAAACUAAAUUCACUUACAAUGGAGGUGAACCAAGGGACCUAGAAACUCAUUAUUUAUAUGUGUAUCUAUCUAUCUAUCUAUCUAUCUAUCUAUAUAUAUAUAUGAAUGAUGAGUCGAAAAUUUUGAGAUUUCCUUUUUAGCCUCUUGUAAGUCUCAGUCCUUCUAAAAGACUGCCUUUGGCUGGGUGCAGUGGCUCACGCUUGUAAUCACAGCACUUUGAGAGGCCGAGGCUGGCGGAUCACCUGAGGUCAGGAGAUUGAGACCAUCCUGGCUAACACGGUGAAACCCUGUCUCUACUAAAAAUACAAAAAAUUAGCCAGGCGUGGUGGCGGGCGCCUGUAGUCCCAGCUACUCAGGAGGCUGAGGCAGGAGAAUGGCUAGAACUUGGGAGGCUUAGGUUGCAGUGGGCCGAGAUGGAGUCACUGCACUCCAGCCUGGGUGACACAGCAAGACUCCAUCUCAAAAAAAAAAAACAAAAAAAAAAGGACUGCCUUUGUCAGUUGUGGCAAAUACCUUCCAGAUAGACCCCUUUUCUCCUGGUUAAUGGGUCUUCAAAAAAAAAAAAAAAAAAAAAAAAACAGGUCUUCAAGCCUUUUAUUUCACAUUUUAUUAAGCCACUGUGAUCCACCAUCCCAUCUCUCCUUUCAUAUCCCUCCCCCAAGCAUCCCAUAUCUCCCUUGAUCAGACAGUCUUUUGGUACAAACACUGCUCCUACAGUAUGUCCCAAAGCAAACAAAAAGAAUACAGAGGCCAGGUGGGGUAGCUCAUGCCUGUAAUCCUAGCACUUUGGGAGGCCAAUGCAGGAGGAUCACUUGGGGCCAAGAGUGUUCAAGAUCAGCCUGGGCAACAUGGUGCUUCUAUUAAAAAAAAAAAAAAAAAAAAAAGAACAAAGAGCUCCACAUCUAUUGGAUGACGAGAUGACACAUAUUCUGCUUGCUUACUAGUCAGACUGCCAAAAAUCAUUUGUUUCUCCUCUUGUAGGUUUAAACAAACACAAAAGGAACUGUGCUCCUAUGUACGGCUACUGCUUCUCCACAGGACUUGAAAAACUGAGGCAUUAGAGACACUUCCUCUCUAUAAACCCGAACAGAACACUUUGUUUCUUUUCUCUUAGCAUAUAGUUGGUAGUUUGUAUUUCCAGGCCAUCAUUGUACAUGUUUGGCAAGGGCCUUCAAUUUUCUCAGUACAAUGUUUCAUCCAGUCACUGAAGGCCCGGCACUGUACCUUGAAUUUACAAGCCAAGAAAAAGACUCAGACUGAAAAGAAGACCUUCGGUAUCAUCUUCCUGAAAUACAUCAGACUCUACAAAUGAGUUAGAAGACCCAGAUCCAAUUCCCAGUGUCUUGCAGUGUGAUCUCUAGACAGCUCUUUAAUCUUCUGUAGCUCCAGUUUUUCCAUCCUGGAAAACAGGGAUUGUAUUACCUGUCCCUCCUUGAAUUCAGACUCUUACUACUGAAUGAGAAUAUUUUUAUUUCUAUAAUUUGUGAAACAACCAGCAUUCAGAAGACUCAGAAAAUAAAGCACAAAUGUUGUUUCUCACUUCUGUCAGAAUGGCCAUGUAGAAAUCCUCAGCAAAACCCAAGAGAAAUCCCAAAGAAGAAGAAGAAACAAAGGCAUGAAGAGGUUAGGCUAUAGCUGCAUAUCUUGGAAAAGACAGCUGGGAUUUGAGGUUCAAAUACCAUGUCUUCCACUUAUUCGCUAUGUGACAUGGAAAAAAUCGUUUCACCUCCCUAAGCCCCAAUUCCUUUCUCCAUAAAAGGAGAUAAUAGUAUCUACCAAAUAGUAACGUCGUGAGAAGUUGAUGAGACGAUGAUAAGGGAAACAUCUGGCACUGUGUCUGGCAUGCGGCGGGUGCUUAGUAAGUAUGGGCUCCCUUUACCUACCCCCUCCGCCCCUACAAGCCUCGGGGUUCACCCUUUAAGACCUUUGCCACAGGGUGUCCACGCGGCCUCCGGGGUCCCCAGGCGCCCGGGCCAGCCGCACUGCCAUACCUGCAUGGAGUCAGCGCUGACGAUCUCACCGCCGAGCCGCUGGCCUAGCUGCAACGCCAGCGUGGAUUUGCCGGUGCCCGUGGCCCCGAGAAUCACUACAAGAGCAUCUCUCUCCAGAACCUCUUCUUGGGGACCCCUCUCUGAAGCCUCUUCUUGGGAGCAGCUUUCUGGAGGAAAACGGGCAGCAUAGUUGUGCUGUUGCUGAUGGAUGGAGAUGUGGAAAUGCUUCAUGCAGGGAUCCAGGGGGUCUGCUCGCACCGUGAUGGUGACCGGCUUCCGAAUACCCAGAGACUGCCUCUUCUCUACUGUCACAACAUCAAUUUCUUCAUUCUCUGUCCGAGAAAAGAGAUCAAGAGAAGAAACACAUCCCAUGAGAAACACAAACAUAGACCCUACAGCUUUAGCUGUCUACGCUGGUGCUUGGGAAGGUAGGAGACAUUUUUCCAAUUUAGAUAUAUACAAAUCGAGGUGAGCAGAAAGCUGAUUCAUUUGUAAUGUGGUAAGGGCACAGUGAAGGAAAGGAGGGGACAUUAGCAAGAAGGAAAAUAUUCUCCAAUUUCCUUUUGCACAGCAAGGCUUAGAUAAGAACAAAAGGCAGACCCAAGCCAACAGCCCCCAGUCUGCAAAGGCUCUCCCCUCCCCCACGGAGGGGUUGGAGAGAAAGAGCUACCGGCCUGGGACAAAGUUUAGCUAUAAAGAUCUUCCCCAGUCGGGCUCUUUCAUGCCCCAUCAGAAUUGUAAAUGAGGGGUCUGUGGGCAGAGCUGCCCUUUGUUCCUGCCCAGCACAGCCUGCACUUGGGGAAUUGUUACUUUUCACAAGUUAUAAAUCCUAUUAUUCCCCCACCUCUCUAUUCUGCCAUCCCUUUCAGCUGAAGAUUCAGAGAAGGGAGGGCUACAACCCAUCCCUCUUCACCCACAGAGGGGAGGGAAAGGGUUUCCCUUAGGAGCAUUUUGCUCCUGGGUUCAAUGGGUUUCUAAAGUCAUCCAUCAUUUAUAGGUCGCCUGCCCCACCUCCUUCCCUGGACUAGAAGGUUAGAUUUGUAAUCAUAGGUCGGCGAAGCUGCAGGAACUUCACAAAGGUACAAGCGACCAUUUCCAAACUACCUGCACCAGAGGCAGAGACUGGGCAGCAGAAUGUCCCAGAUAUGGGGCUCAUAACACCAGAGACCUGGAGACACCUGGACACGCCCUUCUCAUUCACUGGCUUGAAGGUCUCUUAGGUUAACCUAACCAGGAGAGGGGCAAUUGGGAGAAAAGUCUCCUCCUGCUCCACACAUUUUGCAGCCUCCACACAGAAGUCCACCUUAAUGGAUCUCGGCCUCGCAAAGGAAGAGCUCCGUUCUCAGCUUCUUUGCAUAUCAGGAAGCUUGAGCCCCUUUGUCAGGAAGGCUUCCAUUGUGUGGACAAUCGCAUUAUUUCUCCAUUAAUAAACCUGACCAUUCAGCCCUCCUGGCCCCAAAGCCCAUGAUUGGCUGAUUACGCUGUGUUUGGACUUCUGUCUUACCCAGCCCCUAGCCCCUAUUGGGUGAGCUCUGCUGCCAAUCACUUUCCCCACCCCCCGCCUCAUUGUUUGCAAUCUGUUGCAUUUUGUUCCAGGCCAUGUGGCCUGUGAGUGAACUAGAAGCUCACAAACAGGUUCAGGUUAAAGGGUAGGUUAGAAAAUGAUUCAGCAGGCUUCCCUACAUCCCAAACCUUUAAUUUUCAGUGUUAAGCCUCGUGGCUCAGGAAGAUUCUAUCUAAGAAAGAAAUAAUUUAAGACACCAUUCUCCCUUUCAGAGAGUAGUGUCUUACUCUAUCCAGACAAGGAAAUGUCAUCAGCAGGACAAUCAAGUCCAACCCCAUCGUGUGCAAAUGGGGAAACUGAGGCCCAGAUCAGCGAAGUCCACAUAUCACCUUUGUAACGUUCUGGAUCUCAAACUAAAAUGUCCAACUUCCAAAGCAAUGCUCUUUCCACUCUACCACUCCACCAGCCGUUGUAGAGAUACAUCUUUAUUGGUUUUUUGAUCUCAAGAUUCUCUUUCCA
rnacentral:lncRNA from 1 species